rnacentral:rRNA from 1 species
GUCCACGCCGUAAACGAUGAGAACUAGAUGUUGGGAGGGUUGCCUCUCGGUGUCGUAGCUAACGCGUUAAGUUCUCCGCCUGGGGAGUACGCCGGCAACGGUAAAACUCAAAGGAAUUGACGGGGACCCGCACAAGCGGUGGAGCAUGUGGUUUAAUUCGAUGCAACGCGAAGAACCUUACCUGCCCUUGACAUACUCGGAACUUUCCAGAGAUGGAUUGGUGCCUUCGGGAACCGAGAUACA